GUAGGGUGCGAGCGUUAAUCGGAAUUACUGGGCGUAAAGUGUGCGCAGGUGGCCGCGCAAGUCGAGUGUGAAAUCCCCGGGCUUAACUUGGGAAUUGCGCUCGAAACUACGUGGCUCGAGUGUGGCAGAGGAAGGUGGAAUUCCACGUGUAGCGGUGAAAUGCGUAGAGAUGUGGAGGAACACCGAUGGCGAAGGCAGCCUUCUGGGCCAACACUGACGCUCAUGCACGAAAGCGUGGGGAGCAAACAGGAUUAGAUACCCUGGUAGUCCACGCCCUAAACGAUGAUGACUAGUUGUUGGAGGAGUUAAAUCCUUUAGUAACGCAGCUAACGCGUGAAGUCAUCCGCCUGGGGAGUACGGUCGCAAGAUUA
rnacentral:rRNA from 1 species